rnacentral:rRNA from 1 species
UACGUAGGGUGCAAGCGUUGUCCGGAAUUAUUGGGCGUAAAGAGCUCGUAGGCGGUUCGUCGCGUCGGCUGUGAAAUCCCGAGGCUCAACCUCGGGUCUGCAGUCGAUACGGGCGGACUGGAGUUCGGCAGGGGAGACUGGAAUUCCUGGUGUAGCGGUGAAAUGCGCAGAUAUCAGGAGGAACACCGGUGGCGAAGGCGGGUCUCUGGGCCGAUACUGACGCUGAGGAGCGAAAGCGUGGGUAGCAAACAGG